CUACGGGAUGCUGCCGUGAGGAAUAUUGCACAAUGGGGGGAACCCUGAUGCAGCAACGCCGCGUGGAGGAUGACGCAUUUCGGUGUGUAAACUCCUUUUAUAUGUCAAGAAAAUGACGGUAGCAUAUGAAUAAGCACCGGCUAACUCCGUGCCAGCAGCCGCGGUAAUACGGAGGGUGCAAGCGUUACUCGGAAUCACUGGGCGUAAAGGACGCGUAGGCGGGUUGGAAAGUCAGGUGUGAAAUCCUACAGCUUAACUGUAAAACUGCACUUGAAACUUCUAAUCUAGAGUAUGGGAGGGGGAGAUGGAAUUAGUGGUGUAGGGGUAAAAUCCGUAGAUAUCACUAGGAAUACCUAAAGCGAAGGCGAUCUCCUGGAACAUUACUGACGCUAAGGCGUGAAAGCAUGGGGAGCAAACAGGAUUAGAUACCCCGGUAGUC
rnacentral:rRNA from 1 species